UACGUAGGGGGCAAGCGUUGUCCGGAAUUACUGGGCGUAAAGCGCACGUAGGCGGCUUUGCAAGUUAGAGGUGAAAGCCCGGGGCUCAACCCCGGAAUUGCCUUUAAAACUGCAUCGCUAGAAUUGUGGAGAGGUAAGUGGAAUUCCGAGUGUAGAGGUGAAAUUCGUAGAUAUUCGGAAGAACACCAGUGGCGAAGGCGACUUACUGGACACAUAUUGACGCUGAGGUGCGAAAGCGUGGGGAGCAAACAGG
rnacentral:rRNA from 1 species